AAGAAGGUUGUGAUAGAAAUUGGUAGAGUAGGUAUUGAAUCAAAUAAACUCGUUCUUAUUAUUAAUGAUCGUACACAUCUGGUUACAUAAAUUCCCUUAUAUAUAACCUAAACAAGAAACCUAUUUUGACUCAAAUUAGGAUUAAAAAAACUAA